GAAGCGGCAACAGCUCAAAUUUGAAAUCUGACCCCUGGGGGUCCGAGUUGUAAUUUGCAGAGGGUGUUUCGGGCACGGUGCCGGUUUAAGUCCUUUGGAACAGGGUGUCAUAGAGGGUGAGAACCCCGUAUGUGACCGGUCGCCAAACCCAUGUGAAACCCCUUCGACGAGUCGAGUUGUUUGGGAAUGCAGCUCAAAAUGGGUGGUAAAUUUCAUCUAAAGCUAAAUAUUGGCCAGAGACCGAUAGCGCACAAGUAGAGUGAUCGAAAGAUGAAAAGCACUUUGGAAAGAGAGUCAAACAGCACGUGAAAUUGUUGAAAGGGAAGCGCUUGCGACCAGACCUGCUCGCGGGUGAUCAGCGGUGCUUUUCGCGCCGUGCACUCAUCCGCGAUCAGGCCAGCAUCGGUUCAGGCGGCCGGACAAAGACUCGGAGAAUGUAGCUCCCUCCGGGGAGUGUUAUAGCUCCUUGUGCAAUACGGCCAGCCGGGACCGAGGACCGCGCU
rnacentral:rRNA from 1 species